GGGCUUUAGCUCAGUUGGGAGAGUACCUGCUUUGCAAGCAGGGGGUCGGGGGUUCGAGUCCCCUAAGCUCC
rnacentral:tRNA from 1 species